UACGUAGGGUGCAAGCGUUGUCCGGAAUUAUUGGGCGUAAAGAGCUUGUAGGCGGUUUGUCGCGUCUGCUGUGAAAUUUCGGGGCUCAACCCCGAACUUGCAGUGGGUACGGGCAGACUAGAGUGUGGUAGGGGAGACUGGAAUUCCUGGUGUAGCGGUGAAAUGCGCAGAUAUCAGGAAGAACACCCGUGGCGAAGGCGAGUCUCUGGACAGUUACCGACGCUGAGGCACGAAGGCCAGGGGAGCAAACGGG
rnacentral:rRNA from 1 species